rnacentral:rRNA from 1 species
GACGAACGCUGGCGGCGUGCCUAAUACAUGCAAGUAGAACGCACAGUUUAUACCGUAGCUUGCUACACCAUAAACUGUGAGUUGCGAACGGGUGAGUAACGCGUAGGUAACCUGCCUGGUAGCGGGGGAUAACUAUUGGAAACGAUAGCUAAUACCGCAUAAUAUUGAUUAUUGCAUGAUAAUUGAUUGAAAGAUGCUAUUGCAUCACUACCAGAUGGACCUGCGUUGUAUUAGCUAGUAGGUGAGGUAACGGCUCACCUAGGCGACGAUACAUAGCCGACCUGAGAGGGUGAUCGGCCACACUGGGACUGAGACACGGCCCAGACUCCUACGGGAGGCAGCAGUAGGGAAUCUUCGGCAAUGGACGAAAGUCUGACCGAGCAACGCCGCGUGAGUGAAGAAGGUUUUCGGAUCGUAAAGCUCUGUUGUAAGAGAAGAACGGGUGUGAGAGUGGAAAGUUCACACUGUGACGGUAUCUUACCAGAAAGGGGCGGCUAACUACGUG